CAUGUUGCCCCCACCUCGAUGGCGACAUAUGGUGAACCCAUGACGUGAUUGCAAAGGAAGAUAGAAGAGAACUUGACAAGAAGCGAACGAAGAAUCGCUCGGUGGGACCUCGGGAAGCUGCUAUCGGGAGGAUCAGGCGGCCGCUGAACCCCCCAUUUCGUUUCAUUGCUUCCCAGCCCGAGAGAUCGCACGCCGCUGAGCUGCCUAACGCUACUACUGAGAACUUUCUUGCUGCUGCUGAGACUUUUUCACGGCUACUCUGCUUUCUACCUACCUGUGGCACAUGCACAAGCUACAUGGACAACUCAUUUAUGGACAUUCAGCACUGAGAA